rnacentral:rRNA from 1 species
AUGCAUUCACUUCACGAUUCUGUUUGUCGGAGAUUGUACCUAUACUGGGAGAAGGUGCAACCAAUCACCGGUCCAAAAUAUGAUCCGUUGGCAUUGUUGAGCCCGCUGAUGAGGAACUGGAUGGAAGAUAUGGCUGUGAGAAGAGACAAAUACGACUAUGAAUAUGGUCGUGGUGUUGGGAUGAUCAAUGACAACAUUACAGAGGAGUAUAGGCUGAAAAAAAUUGCAGAAGAAGAAGCUCAAAAAACCAAGAAAGCUAGUAGCAAAAAGUCUAACGUUACUGGAACGAGGAAAGAGGGCAGUACCUCAGAGGCUUCGAGCCAGAAGCCUACUAUGGACCGGAUUUUGAGUGAGAUGAAUGAGCUUCGGAAGGAAAUGCUUCGUUUGCUAGAGUUAUGCGCACAAAGGAUUAUUGAGAAACUGAACAAAACCGACGUCUUCUACAAACCAAGUAACCUGGAAGAGGACGAAGAGAAUCUGCACGGAGGCACUAAUGAGUCUUCAAAUGAUGGUAGACGUCCGGAAAAAGAGUUUGUAUAUAAAAAAGAUGAUUCAGACCGGUUCCGCACACCUUCCAAAAUGAAUUUGCAAAAGGAUGAUGACGGCGGUGAUGUAACUUCUCAUGGAAACACACAUUUUUACUGCACACCUGAGUACUGGGAUAGUUUCAAGGGAGUACAAGAGGAAGUGGAGGAGGUUACUGGCAGGCGCAAGCGCAAAGGAUCACAACAUGUCAAGUCUCCUUAUGUGGUCCCUAAACCGAACAAGCGUGCAAAAUGUUCUGCGAAAGGAAAAUUGUUCCAAAAUGGUGGUGUUAACAAAUCUAGUGAUGAGUAUGAUGUGGUGAAAGCGUCCAUCAAGUACGUGCGCGCGCAUGAGCAUUCACAAAAACAUGCCAAAACAGAAAUUUUCAAUGAUGGCUUGGAAGAAGGUCUCACUAGAAAACAACUAGCAUAA